rnacentral:tRNA from 1 species
AGGCUUGUAGCUAAGGUGGUAAGAGCGCACCCCUAAAAAGGGUGAGGUCGGUGGUUCAAGUCCAAUCAGGCCUA